rnacentral:tRNA from 1 species
UCCCUAGUGGCUCAGACGGUAAAGCAUCUGCCUGCAAUGCAGGAGACCCUAGUUUGAUCCCUGGGUCGGGAA